CUCUUUGCCAGUUCCUGUUUGCUGUUUGCAGCCGCCAUGAAAGGCAGCCCAGCCAUGCCCGCCUGUCUUGGAGCCAACUGAAUGUGGACUGAAACCUCCAAAAACUUCUCUGAAACCCGGCCCUCAGCACAUCUGAAGUUGGAGCUUGGAGAUAAUUUCCUGCUGCUGACCUGGACCCUGCUCAGCACUCUCUUGGAGAGGAAUGAUGGAGCAAAAAUGAUUUAGAAUUAACUGAAGACACACAGGACUGAAAGUCAAUCAGCAGUAUCUUCUGUCCCUGUUCGGAGGAAUCUCACCACAUAUCAAGGAGUCUUUCCUGGUGGCUCCAUAUUUUAAGACAGCAGGGUGUACACAUCGCUUUCCAUACAGAGUCUGACAAGGAAGAGAAGGAAAGGCUUCAGGCAAAGCCCACCGGACAACCAUGCAGGAACUGUGUCUCCUGGCUUGGUUGAGCCGCAGCACGACUGCAGCCCAGGCUGACCACUUUGUGACCAAGCUGGAGUCACACAGUCAGUAAAGUCACCCAGGAUUCCCAGCCCUCUGCAAGUGCGUAAGAUGUUGUUGUUUAUCAACUGCUGAAUUUUUAAGUAAUUGGUUAUACAGCAAUGAUAUGUAACAUACCUACAGCCAGAAAAGGUAGCUCUUAUGUCCUCUCAUCCACGUCGGAAGGAAUAUUCUUUUCUAAGUCAUUGUUCUGCUGAGAUCACGAGCAUUAUCAAUUGUCAGCACAUGUGUUUGUCUGUCUCGGCUGUGCUUCAUCGCGCCAUCACUGCCAGUACCUAAGGGUCAGGAUACCUCUAGUUUUUCUUUAAUAUUAAAUGUGAUGGGUUAAGUUCUCCAACUUCAUUCCUUUCCAGAGUCCUUUUGACUAUAAUUAGUUCCUUAGCAGUUCUUCUGUAGUUUACAGUUAGCCUGCCUUUUUUGCAAAAUGAAUUUUUAUUGAUUAUAUACAGUCAAUAGAUCAGUUGGGAAAGAAUUAGUAUCUUUAGCAAUGUUGAGAUUUUCCUCAUUUGCUGAGAUAUUUUUUAAUUUCAGCAUUGCUUUGUACUUUUAGUGAGAGAUCUUAUACAUUUUUGUUAGAUUUCCUCUUGGGUGGGUGUGGUUAUAUAACAUACCCCUCAGUGAGUUCUUUAUCUUUGCUGCAAUUACAUACUAUACCACUCACUGUUUCUCUAUAUCUUGUAUUUUCCAGUAUUAUUUAAAAGAAACAUUUUGAAAGAAAUUUAUAAUUUCCUAGUCAUAAGAUAUUAUUAGUGAAAUAUAAACCUAUUUUAAUAAAUAAAACAGAAGUCAUAAAAUGAAACCGUACUACAUAAUCUUGACAAACUCGCUUCUUAAAAUUCCAUCUAUUAGCCUAUUUUAGAGGUCUAUUUUUAUUGUUUGUAAUAUUAUUAAUAAAACCCAGCAAUUCCAUUUCCCUUUGAAAUGCUGAGAUCUAAUAAUGAACUAUUGUUUUACUUAUUCUUUAUGUAUAAAUUCUUUGUCGAUCUGGCACUGUUGUCACCAAGUCAGUAAGACGUAGUGAGAGGUUACAGCACCCAUCUUUCUAGUAGGUAAAUGGUAAAAGACACAAAAUAAUGAGUCCAGGCUGGAAUCAGGGAGUGAUACAGUGGCAAAUCCAUGUAAACCAAUAACCACCACUCGACAGAUGGCAGCUAAUUGAGAGUAAUGCAGAGCAGUGCUAAAAGUUGGAAAGUCAGCUGUGUCCGCAGCAGCACACAAGGAAAACAACCAGUCUCACGUUACUGGGAUCUGGGAUCAAAAUCAAUGUUGGACUUCAGCGUGUAAAAGUUCAGUCGUGUUCUAUGUGAAGGGCACCAGAGUGAAGAUCGUUCAGUGGUAUGACCCUUUCACCUUUGUGCUGUCCUUCUUAUGCACACGCUCACAGGAUCUCACAGGAUCUGCUUCCUGAAUACUCAUGCAAAGUUUCACCUAGAGGGAAAGUAGAUCGCAUGGAUCCCAAGCAAAAGUGUAUUUUCAUGAAAAUCCUAAAUGCCUAGGUCUGGUUACAACAUGAGGGGGACAUAGAUAUUCAUUUUACAAAAAAGGGAAUAUGAGAUACUAAAAAGUAGUCAAUCAAAGAAUCCAUAUAAUUAUAUAUUUUAAUAACCACUGUCCUCUCUGGUAUAUUCUUAGUUACUGGUGGUUUAGGUGAAGUCACUAUCAUUUCGUUAUCAGAAGCACUAUUGACAUGAGUAUCAGGAUUCUCACAGGUCGCACUCCACCUGCAACAUCUCACGGGGAAGACGCUGCCACACCAUGCCCACAGCUCUCUCAGCCCCACAUCUCUGUGGUUCUGUUCCCCCAACUUGCCCUUCCCCCUCUGAUUUCCUGGCACCAUCGUUGUGGGACCCCCCAGUGGACCAAACUACAGAGGCAGUGUUCACCUGCUCUCUUUCAGCGUUCAUGGUUCUGUGACUACUUUCCCUAAAUAAAUAAAUGAUUUUUAUUAUUGAUUAUGAAUAAAUAAAUAAAUGAUUUUCUUCAUGCUCUUUAAAACUGUCUUCUUUGGAUGUUUGCCCCAGAACAGAUUAAGAAAAAUCAUAGAUGUAUCUUUAAAUUUCAGAUAGUCUGAAAUAAAUGGCCAAAGAUAUAUAAAAUAUAUUUUUGUUAACAAAUUGAUACACUUAAUUGGUUUUACUCUUUGAUUUGAAAAAUCCAUUUUUGUCCAUUUUAGCUGCUCCAUCUAACUUAAUUUCACACUUUAUUGCCUUCCUUAUUU